GCCCGUGACGCAUCGUAAUACACAUUAAAUAUCUUAAUAGAUUUUACACGGCCCCACUUCCGCAAAUUGCGUUAUGUAAUACUUGUACGUUAUUAUGUACAUUCCAAAGUAACAAUGUUUUUGUAAUGCUAAGUCACCUGCGACUAUGGCACCUGCACUAUGGAACGAAAUUUUGGGUGUUUCUAAAUAAUAACCAAAUGGAUGUUUUAUAAACGAGUCAGUCAUGCGUAACGUGUCUACGUUUGUGUGUGAGCGAGCUGAUGCGUACUGCCCGAUUGAUGUAGCGGAGCGGCUCGGCGAGGUCGAGGAGGAGCGGGAGCACACAGUGGUACCCCACUGUCACACGCGCCCGACCCGAUCAUAAAGCCACCACGGGCCUCAAACGCGUCAUACUCCCUCCCGUCAUAGUUUGCAUCAAAAAAUUUUUUAAACCACUGCAAAAACUCAAAAUUAUCUUGAAACCUCCCUUUGAUCAGCUUGUCCACAGGUAUUACCUACAAAAUUUACACUGUAAAAGCUAUACUAGAACAAAUAUAACAAUUUUCUAAUGCA